rnacentral:rRNA from 1 species
AGCGAACGCUGGCGGCAGGCUUAACACAUGCAAGUCGAACGAACCUUCCGGGGUUAGUGGCGGUCGGGUGAGUACCACCUGGGAACGUGCCUUUAGGUUCGGAAUAACUCAGGGUAACUUGUGUUCAUACAGAAUGUGCUCUUCGGGGGAAAGAUUGAUCGCUGAUUGAGCGGCGUGCGAUCAGUUAGCUGGUUGGUUGAGGUAAUGGCUCACCACGGCGACGUUGAGUAGCUGUUGUGAGAGGAUGCUUUGCCACAUUGGGACUGAGACACGGCCCAAACUCCGACGGGAGGCAGCAGUGGGGAAUCUUACGCAAUGAGCGAAAGCCUGACGCAGCCAUGCCGCGGGAGUGAUGAAGGUCUUAGGAUUGUAAAAUUCUUUCACAGGGGACGAUAAUGACGGUACCCGGAGAAGAAGCUCCGGCUAACUUCGUG